UACGUAGGGUGCGAGCGUUGUCCGGAAUUACUGGGCGUAAAGAGCUCGUAGGUGGUUUGUCGCGUUGUCCGUGAAAACUCACAACUCAAUUGUGGGCGUGCGGGCGAUACGGGCAGACUGGAGUACUGCAGGGGAGACUGGAAUUCCUGGUGUAGCGGUGGAAUGCGCAGAUAUCAGGAGGAACACCGGUGGCGAAGGCGGGUCUCUGGGCCGAUACUGACGCUGAGGAGCGAAAGCGUGGGGAGCGAACUGG
rnacentral:rRNA from 1 species